CCUACGGGUGGCAGCAGUGGGGAAUAUUGCACAAUGGGGGAAACCCUGAUGCAGCGACGCCGCGUGAGUGAAGAAGUAUUUCGGUACGUAAAGCUCUAUCAGCAGGGAAGAAAAUGACGGUACCUGACUCAGAAGCCCUGGCUAACUACGUGCCAGCAGCCGCGGUAAUACGUAGGGGGCAAGCGUUAUCCGGAUGUACUGGGUGUAAAGGGAGCGUAGACGGCAGCGCAAGUCAGGCGUGAAAUCCCAUGGCUUAACCAUGGAACUGCUUUGGAAACUGUGCAGCUAGAGUGCAGGAGAGGUAAGCGGAAUUCCUGGUGUAGCGGUGAAAUGCGUAGAUAUUAGGAGGAACACCAGUGGCGAAGGCGGCUUACUGGACUGUAACUGACGUUGAGGCUCGAAAGCGUGGGGAGCAAACAGGAUUAGAUACCCUAGUAGUC
rnacentral:rRNA from 1 species